UACGUAGGGGGCUAGCGUUGUCCGGAAUCAUUGGGCGUAAAGAGCGUGUAGGCGGCUCGGUAAGUCCGCUGUAAAAGUCAAAGGCUCAACCUUUGAAUGUCAGUGGAUACUGCCGGGCUAGAGUCCGGAAGAGGCGAGUGGAACUCCUGGUGUAGCGGUGGAAUGCGCAGAUAUCAGGAAGAACACCAACGGCGAAGGCAGCUCGCUGGGACGGUACUGACGCUGAGACGCGAAAGCGUGGGGAGCGAACAGG
rnacentral:rRNA from 1 species